rnacentral:misc_RNA from 1 species
GAUGAAGAACGUAGCGAAAUGCGAUAAGUAAUGUGAAUUGCAGAAUUCAGUGAAUCAUCGAAUCUUUGAACGCACAUUGCGCCCCCUGGUAUUCCGGGGGGCAUGCCUGUCCGAGCGUCAUUACAACCCUCAAGCUCAGCUUGGUAUUGGGCCCCGCCGACCCGGCGGGCCCUAAAGUCAGUGGCGGUGCCGUCCGGCUCCGAGCGUAGUAAUUCUUCUCGCUCUGGAGGUCCGGUCGUGUGCUCGCCAGCAACCCCCAAUUUUUUUCAGGCUGACCUCGGAUCAGGUAGGGAUACCCGCUGAACUUAAGCAUAUCAAUAAGCGGAGGA